AGACGUGUUUGCCUACUUAAUAUCUGCCAACAAAAUACAUUUUGUUAAGACGAAAAACAAGAAUCCAUUGGAAAAAACAUGCAAAAACACUAGGUGAUUUCUUUCGACUUGUCCAAGCCUUAGUGAGAGGGAGGUACUAAUUGACGUGCGUGAAAACUUGGCCAAGACACCACAGUCGAAUAAAAAAAAUGCACAUUUGAUAGACCAACAAACAGAAGGCUUGAAAUAAAAUAGGGAGUCUGUGUAACUAAAUAUACUAUUGACUUCUUUAGUUUACAUGAAACAAA
rnacentral:misc_RNA from 1 species